rnacentral:rRNA from 1 species
CCUACGGGUGGCAGCAGUGAGGAAUAUUGGUCAAUGGCCGUAAGGCUGAACCAGCCAAGUCGCGUGAAGGAAGAAGGAUCUAUGGUUUGUAAACUUCUUUUAUAGGGGAAUAAAGGUAUCCACGUGUGGAUAUUUGCAUGUACCCUAUGAAUAAGCAUCGGCUAACUCCGUGCCAGCAGCCGCGGUAAUACGGGGGAUGCGAGCGUUAUCCGGAUUUGUUGGGUUUAAAGGGUGCGGAGGGUGUUUUUUAAGUCAGCGGUGAAAGUUUGUGGCUCAACCAUAAAAUUGCCGUUGAAACUGGAAGACUUGAGUGUGUUUGAGGUAGGCGGAAUGCGUGGUGUAGCGGUGAAAUGCAUAGAUAUCACGCAGAACUCCGAUUGCGAAGGCAGCUUACUAGGCCAUAACUGACACUGAAGCACGAAAGCGUGGGGAGCAAACAGGAUUAGAUACCCCUGUAGUC